UACGUAGGGUGCGAGCGUUGUCCGGAAUUAUUGGGCGUAGAGAGCCUGUAGGCGGUUUGUCGCGUCUGCUGUGAAAUCUCAAGGCUCAACCUUGAGCUUGCAGUGGGUACGGGCAGACUAGAGUGUGGUAGGGGGAGACUGGAAUUCCUGGUGUAGCGGUGAAAUGCGCAGAUAUCAGGAGGGAACACCGAUGGCGAAAGGCAGGUCUCUGGG
rnacentral:rRNA from 1 species